rnacentral:miRNA from 14 species
CGGCCUGGAUGUUGGCAGGACGCCCCCUGCGCGAUGGUCACGCGGCCCAGCAGCUUGUUGAGCUCCUCAUCGUUGCGGAUGGCCAGCUGCAGGUGGCGCGGGAUGAUGCGCGUCUUCUUGUUGUCUCUCGCCGCGUUG